AGAUGUGAGGACAAUGUGGCUGUGACAUCGGUCACCCCGUUGAUCACCAGUGCUGAUUUGGCUUACCCGGCUGACUAGGCAGGUGUCCCCUCCCUCCCUCACUGUUCCAUUUGCAUCCUUUUUGAGGCUGUAUGCUUGGUGGAAGAGGAUGACCAUCCAAUACAGGAGUGUACCAUCCUUUUGUUCAAGGGCAUAUGAUAGUUGUGCUUCCCUGCUAGAACCUCCAAACAAGCUCAAGGUUCUGUUAUAAUUGCUGAUUAGCUCCAGCUGUCUUUUUCAGGAAAAAAAAUACAAUUU
rnacentral:snRNA from 1 species